GACGAACGCUGGCGGCGUGCUUAACACAUGCAAGUCGAACGGUAAGGCCCUUCGGGGUACACGAGUGGCGAACGGGUGAGUAACACGUGGGUGAUCUGCCCUGCACUUCGGGAUAAGCCUGGGAAACUGGGUCUAAUACCGGAUAGGACCCUGGGAUGCAUGUCCUGGGGUGGAAAGCUUUUGCGGUGCGGGAUGGGCCCGCGGCCUAUCAGCUUGUUGGUGGGGUGAUGGCCUACCAAGGCGACGACGGGUAGCCGGCCUGAGAGGGUGACCGGCCACACUGGGACUGGGAUACGGCCCAGACGCCUACGGGAGGCAGCAGUGGGGAAUAUUGCACAAUGGGCGCAAGCCUGAUGCAGCGACGCCGCGUGAGGGAUGACGGCCUUCGGGUUGUAAACCUCUUUCAGCACCGACGAAGCGCAAGUGACGGUAGGUGCAGAAGAAGGACCGGCCAAUUACGUGCCAGCCGCCGCCGUAA
rnacentral:rRNA from 1 species